rnacentral:rRNA from 1 species
AUGAGAUACGAGAUAAUCAAGGCAAUUUGCAGUGGUUUGUGUUUCCUUCAGGAAGAAUACCGUAUCCUUCAUCUGGACCUUAAGCCAGAAAAUAUAUUGAUGGACUUUAUGAUGAUGCCGAAAAUCGCGGAUUUUGGUUUGUCGAGUCUCUUUGGUGUGCAGCAAAUGCGAAUCUUCACUGAUAAUCCUGCAGGAAACAGUAUUUAG